UUGUAUAAUGGGUCAGCGACUUAUAUUCAGUGGCAAGGUUAACCAUCUAGGGGAGCCGUAGGGAAACCGAGUCUUAACUGGGCGUUCAGUCUCUGGAUAUAGACCCGAAACCAGGUGAUCUAGCCAUGGGCAGGUUGAAGGUUGAGUAACAUCAACUGGAGGACCGAACCGACUAAUGUUGAAAAAUUAGCGGAUGACUUGUGGCUAGGGGUGAAAG
rnacentral:rRNA from 1 species